CGGGUACUGCCCGAUGCGUGCCGGGGAUAAAUUCCGGUGGCCUUAAGCAAUUCCGAGGGAGCUGGCUCUGUCCGGAUCGUGGUCCGGUUACCUGGUGCCCACCUGUAGUUACAGGUCCUCGGGAAUUCAGAUCCCUUACGGUUGCGGCGGUCCCGUC
rnacentral:other from 1 species